CCCGGAUCAAAUGCAGCCAGGAAGCGGCGAGCAACGCUGGCCAUUUAGAUUAUAACACGUUUCUGUUCGCUGUCACAUAUUUUCUGUCGCUUAAGGGAUGUUUUAAGACAUUAAAAAUACAUGGAACAUUUUGCAGAAGGGCGAUAAUGCGCGUAAAUGAUACUGCAGAAGAUCCUCGUGACACUUUUAUUAUUAUGGAUGUAGUCAUGCGGAGGAGGCGCGGGAACAAGGCCACAGCAAAAGCUUCUGAUGUGCCCACGCGCUAAAGGAGACAAAACGAGAGGCCUUUGUACAAUGUUUUCGGGAUUUAUUGUCACUAUGAAAUAAACUAUUACGUUAUAGAUUAUUAUAGGUAAUAUUGAUUCUGUGAUCAUGUGAAUGACAUUUUUGUGAUGAAAUAGCAUGCCCUCUAAAGUCCUACCAGUGUUUUUCCUCCUCACAAAUAAUCUAUGUGAUAAUAAGAUGUUUAUUAUUAUUAUUAUUAUGCCUAUUAUUAUUGCUUCCUUAUUGUAGUUUAUGCCAUGUGUUAUAUGUUUAAAUACCCUCGAAAUCCAGGUUGAAAGAUACAAUGUAUAUUUAAAUUCAUUUAUUUCUUUAUUCGAACUGGAGCAGCAUGGAAUGUAUGACACUGAAACAGAAACUUGGUGAUAUCUGGAAUAUUUGUUCAAUAAAGAAACGUCUAAUAUCUGUC